ACGUCCUUUCUCCUGGGCUUUCAGCAGGCUGUAAUUUCUUUCAUCAGCUAUGAGAACAUAGUGUGACAAGAUAACUUUCUAGGUGAAUUUAGCCAUUGCAUAUACAGGAAAUGCUGACAAGGAUUUGUCAGUCUGAAUUGGUAAGUGACUGUACCAUUUCCUAAAGGCUAGAAAAAGAUGUAAAAUUUUCAUAACGCUGUAAAGAAGGUCUGUGUAAUAAUUCAGAAUUUUCUCCUGGAUCCACAGAAAAGUAAUGCAUAGUCAGCACCACAAAGAAUCUGAAAUCAGAAGGACACCAUGCGAGGACCAUAGAAAUAGAGAAAGACUGCCUUAGAAUGGAAAAAGCCAUACUUUUGAUUUCUGGACUUAAUGUAAAACAUUGGUUUAUAUGCAAUACAUACAUAGGGAUAUGGAAGCAGUAAGCAUGCAUUUGUCUUUCACUUUGGUUGAAAAGAAGAGCCUUUACUGCUUGACCUGAAAGACUGAAUAUAUUAAGUGCAUGUGGUGCAACAACAGAAAGACUUACUGAAUAGCUGCUUUAAAACAAGUAUCAGAUUCUGAAAGGACUUACCAUAUGCUCUGAAUACAUGACUAUGAAUACGUACAUACUUUGACUGUGAAGUUUCUCAAACCGCCGUUGUACACAACCAUAGUACCUUCUAAAAUGAGGGUGAUCAUGCAGCCUUCUCACCUGCUAAUAUUUGUACUCAUUUUGAGUCCCUGCCUACACGGUACUGGCACCAGAACCUGAUCACCAGCUGACCGAGGUGGAAUGUGAAAAAAUAGGACUCACAAAUGCUCAGAGAAGCAUUUUAUAUCAUACAUGCAUACCUGAAACUGGGAGAGGGCCUGCCUUCCAUUAUCGUGUCUCCAUACAUGGAUCCAGGGCUGAGUCUAGUAGCGUACUCUCA